GGGAGGAGGAGAGGUUAUGAUGAUGGGGGAGGAGGAGGAGAGGUUAUGAUGAUGGGGAGGAGGAGGAGAGGUUAUGAUGAUGGAGAGGAGGAGGAGAGGUUAUGAUGAUGGAGAGGAGGAGGAGAGGUUAUGAUGAUGAUGGGGAGGAGGAGGAGAGGUUAUGAUGAUGGGGGAGGAGGAGGAGAGGUUAUGAUGAUGGGGAGGAGGAGGAGAGGUUAUGAUGAUGGGGAGGAGGAGGAGAGGUUAUGAUGAUGGGGAGGAGGAGGAGAGGUUAUGAUGAUGGGGAGGAGGAGGAGAGGUUAUGAUGAUGGGGAGGAGGAGGAGAGGUUAUGAUGAUGGAGAGGAGGAGGAGAGGUUAUGAUGAUGAGGGAGGAGGAGGAGAGGUUAUGAUGAUGGAGAGGAGGAGGAGAGGUUAUGAUGAUGAUGAGGAGGAGAGGUUAUGAUGAUGAUGGGGAGGAGGAGAGGUUAUGAUGAUGGGGGAGGAGGAGGAGAGGUUAUGAUGAUGGGGAGGAGGAGGAGAGGUUAUGAUGAUGGAGAGGAGGAGGAGAGGUUAUGAUGAUGGUGAGGAGGAGGAGAGGUUAUGAUGAUGAGGGAGGAGGAGGAGAGGUUAUGAUGAUGAGGGAGGAGGAGAGAUUAUGAUGAUGAGGAGGAGAGGUUACGAUGAUGGGGAGGAGGAGGAGAGGUUAUGAUGAUGAGGGAGGAGGAGGAAAGGUUACGAUGAUGGGGAGGAGGAGGAGAGGUUAUGAUG